UUACUUUGAAAAUUUCUUCUGGAUUUUAUCAAAAAAAACCUGUUACUGUUAAUUAGUUUUGUGGUUUAUAUACAUGAAUGUUGGUUUCUGUAAGAUAACUUGUUGGAUCCUAUUUCCAGAUUUUGUGGGAUGAUUAAUCUAUGGAUUUAAAGUUGUUUAUUUGGAUAAUGCAGUGUGUUUCUGAGCGCUUCCUUUGAUUCAUUGUGUAACAUAUUAAUCUGCUCUUUCUAUUAAUUAUUUUCCAGCUUUUUAAGUGCUUAUUUGAUAAGUUGUUUUUGAUUUUGAAUUGGUUUUUGCAGGUGAAGUGAUGUUGAUGCUGAUUGAUUGAAAAAGGGGCGCUGUUAUUCAACAGUUUUUUUUGAAAAAGUUCUGAAGAGUUGCUUUUGAAUUGGGAACUUCCAAAAGAGCUUUUGGAAGAGUCUGUGAAAUUUGCUUCAAACUGCUGUGUUUACAGCUUAUUCCAUUUUUUUAAUAAAAUUAUUUCUGAUGUAACAGAGACCUUUUGGAUUAUGAACUUAGGGAUUACUUGUAACAUGUACAAACUUAAUUUGGAAUUUCUCUUUUUGGCCAGUUAUGCAAUUGUUUUGGAUUAUUAGGAAUUUUUGGAUUAGUUAGGAUAUAUUAAACUGUAAGAAAAAUUGGGUUAGACGUGUAACCCUUUGGAUCAUUUGCAAAAUUUACAUAAUUUUAAUUUAAGUUUUUUUGUUAUUUAUGUGGAUACUUUUGGGUUAUUAUGUAACAUUUGGAUUAAAUUGGAAUAUCACUUGGAGCAUUAUUUGGAAUAUGAUUUGGGAAUAUUAUUUGUGUAA
rnacentral:lncRNA from 1 species